rnacentral:rRNA from 1 species
UACGAAGGGGGCUAGCGCUGUUCGGAAUUACUGGGCGUAAAGCGCACGUAGGCGGACUAUUAAGUCAGGGGUGAAAUCCCGGGGCUCAACCCCGGAACUGCCUUUGAUACUGGUAGUCUCGAGUCCGGAAGAGGUGAGUGGAAUUCCAGGUGUAGCGGUGAAAUGCGUAGAUAUCUGGAGGAACACCGGUGGCGAAGGCGGCGUCCUGGACCAACACUGACACUGAGGAGCGAAAGCCAGGGGAGCAAACGGG